CGGAAUGGAAUACGAAUCUCCCUUUGUGACCGCAUUUAAUUUCCUGCAAUCUAAACAAAAUCGCCAAUCACCGUUAGGUUUUCUAACUAAAAGAGCCGGGUUAUUCCACGGACUCUCACAGGGUGUAACUACGUCCAAUUUUAACAUACGGUCCAAUUCGGAGGCUAAAGCAGCGCGUUUUUCCGGCGAUAACGGGUACUGUUUCGUUUUGAUGGGCGUGGCAUCACCAGUAUCGAUAACAUGCUCCGUCAAGCUGGUUCUGCCAAGCCCCUUCUCCUCGAACGAAAUGUUUUUAAAUUUCCCUACGACGGUGUCCGCGAGUUCCCUCUCGGCCGCAGUUAAAUGCUCGUAAGACCGAAUCGUGUGUACUUGUUCUGCACUUAAACCGUUACAACUAAAAUAAUUUUCAGGUGGAGUCAUGUGUUCCGCAUUUUUUAAACAUUCAGGCAAUAAAUCAAAAGCUUUCCAAAAAUCAUACCCUAAAAUAACGUAAUUUACGAUCGAGGGUACUACUACAAACUUUAUUACUUUUGUAGUAUUUUCAAACGUAACCGGGACAAAAAUGUACCCAAUCGACUCGCAAUUUACUCCAUUUGCGACCCUACACGAACUAGAGUACGCUUCCUGAAAUGUAAAACCAAAUUUGACAAAAUCCAAAUGUGCAUUGUUCCCUAAAACUGACAAUGCUGAACCGCUAUCGGCCAAUCCAUAAAUCUCAAAAUCAUUCGCUUUAAAUUUUAAAUAUGGUCUAAUAUCGUCUUUAUUUGGAGCAAACAGAAUCGUAGCAAUCGAACUAGCAUUUUUAUUUUGUUCAAUCGAUUUAAACUUUAAUCGAUUCGAUUGACACUUGCUACGAUUCAACCUUAGGCGUUUUUUGACUGUUGUUGCAUUGGUUUUGUAACGUUACCCUUUUGACAGAUCUCACAUUCCGAUCGUAUUGUAUUUGCUUUCCCACAACCAAAACAGCUAUACGAAUUUAAUUUAGGCUUUUCUUUACACAAUUUAGAAUUAUGAUCCGGUUUACCACAUUUGUAACAAACUCCACGAUGUGGUUUCGAAAACUUCGCGUCCGAAAACCUUGGUUGCUGUUUUCGCUGUGAAAAGGAACUAUCCGACUUGGUCGCGAAGCUUGAGCUUUGUUUAGCAGCGAUGGCAUUCACCUGAGGUUGCUUGGCACUGGAGCCUUUAUAAACAUGAUCACGACAAAGUGUAUGCUCGCUGACCUUGGGCGGUUCUACAAAUAAUUUCGCCCUUUGCUGUGAAAACUCAACCUUGCGACAAUAAGCCUUCAGUUCGGCGACCGACUUAAUAUCUACCAAUGCCAACUGCUGAGUAAAAUGUGGGCGAAUGUUGUGCAACAAGAUGUCCAGUUUCGCCUCCUCCGAAUUAUUGCCGGAGACCAAAGGAUUUGGAUUUGAAACCUCCGCGCUGCCGCUGGGUGUUGCUGAACUUGAACCUGGACCCUCAAUCUUCGCCAAUAAACUCUCAAGCUUGGAUUGCAAACUAGUCUUCAGUUCUAGCAAUGUCUGGUUGCGUUCCGGCUGAACCCUAGCCAGACGGUGAUAAAUAUGGUAGCCGAGGGCUUUAGCGCGACUUAAAGAAUACCUCUCCUUUGUCUCACAAUAUUUGUCAACAAUAGAAGCCAAAUCGAUCACUUUCUCCGAGACAAUGCCUAGCUCUGACUCCGCUGACAGUUCAGUCUCCACUAUGUCCUCGCUAGGCGCUUCUAAAAUAAGAGACCUAAGUUGCUUUCUCAAAGCGUCAACCGUGGUUGCAGGCGUUUCCGACCGAAUUUGAACCUCAUAAAUCAACUCAUCCUUCAAAAGACUGUGAAAUUGAAUGCUGCGCUCCAUUUUUAACUAGUGUAUAAACUACUGUAUUGAAAAUUCUGGUAUUAACAAUAUGUAUUGUAUGUAUGACUGUAUCACUAUGUUGUUUUCUAACAAGAUUAAAUAAUAUUAAAUAGUGUACUAUUUUCUUUAAACCAAUCUUAAUCUACAAAUAAUGUAACUGUAAUCCUUAAUGAGUAAAGUAUUUUUCCUACCGAAAAUAAUUUCUAACUGACAGGUGUACACUUUCAAACGUCAACUUUCUUUUUAAAUUUGCAAAGUGAAAGCUACUAUGAAAUUGGUUCCAAACAAUACCACAAACUUCCAAGAAGGUAAUACUUCCAACGAAAUUCAAUAUUUUUUACUUUAAAUAUGUAACAAUGAGCUGACACUAAAGAAAUUUAAGGGAAAUGUAAGCAAGUACUCGAAAUUAAUUGUUAUUUCUCAAAUUCGAAUAUCUUUGUAAUAAGUCCGUACUACAAAAGAAUGCACAAAAACCUUUUUAAAUUUCAAUUUUACGCUUAAUAGCAACACAAAUCUAAAACAAAUGUUGAAAUUAAAUCUUGGUAUCUAAAAUGAGUGAAAUUUCCUAGCAUGUACUUGGUGCAAAGUACAAAACCACGUUAUUUUUACGGUUGGCAAUAACCUCAAAAAUCAAAAAAUUGCUUGUCACUUUCUCUUCUAAAAAACAUCAAAUAAAUUGCAUCAAACCAGCAAAAUUGCAAUCAAAUCCUCAAAUUACUAUAUCUAAAGACUAUUUAAUGAAUAGAGAGCAACCAAGACUAAACAAAAAGCUGGCGCUGAUGCCCUACUAAAUUAAAUCAUGGAAAGGACCGACCUCAGAAUUUAAACGUUCCUCAGAUGCAGCGGGGUGACAGGCUGCUUUCCCCGGUGAAGCUAGAUGCUGAGCGGAGACGUAGAGCUCAGGGGCCGCGCACGUGGUACCAAAAUGACGUGGCAGAGGUAGAUGGCGUGUUUAAAUUCUUCGCUCCAGGAGGUCUCCAAAACUAAAUUGACUUCUAGGAUUUUUGAAGCUUUUGAGAUAAAUUACUCAACGAAUGAAAUAAAUGAAUGAAUAAAUCAGUAAAUCCCGGCUCCUGAAAACCGAGAAAAGGUUAUAUUAGCCUACGCCCUUUAUGGCCGCUAGAAAAGAGAUGAAACCAUUGGAAAUUUGGCUCACCGCACUGGUAGCUGCUAAGCCUUCUGGCGGAGCGCUCCCUUCCCUCGAGCAGGAGUCUCUCUGCAAAGAACCAAAAUUUGGUUAAGAACAAACCCACAACGUUUCGCGCCAUUGUGGAGUCGAUCACCACGAAAUUUAAUUUCUACUCACUCAGUGGAGCUUCCGAAGGACUCAAGCCGUUUCCAUCUUUCAGACCACCAUGCCGAAAGUGUGGUCUUCCCACAAAUUGGGCUCUUGCGAGCGAGUGUCCCCAGAGGGGUUCCCAAAUCAAAUGUGCCUAUCAUUCUCGAAUGAUCUCCAAUAUGGAGUCCCUGAGAGCCCUAACAAAAGGUAAUAGGGUGGCAGUCCCUUGAAGACACAAAUCCCACGAAAAUUCUGUCUGAAUUAUUUAGACAAUAUCACUCCUGAGCCUAAGAAAUAUAUUUUUACCAUUUAA